GGGGGAGAGGGGGGAGAGAGGGUUGAGGGUGGUAGGUCACUCAAGUCAGUGGUGACAAGAUGCUAGAUUAACCUAGAUUAACACCAUCAUAGAAUUUCAACUCCAACAACAUCCUUGCAAAUAUAUGCCCACUCAUGCAUGCAUCUGGAUCUAAAUAUUGAAUAAAACCACCAUUUACUUGCCAACAAAAAGCUAAAGAUAUUGACGCUAUUUUUGCAUCAUAAGCAUUAUUCUAUAAAGCAAAAAAAAAAAGCCAUGGAAUUUGUUCAGCUUCUCCACUUUUAAUUAAUUUAUUAAUAUCCUAGCAAGUAAGAUUACCAUGAAAAAUUUGCUCAAAAACAAAUGAUCUCACACUGUAUCUUCCCCUUUGGAAGCUAAGAUUGUCUCAACCCCUGGUUUUGCAAAGAAGAACAGCUGACUUGACCAAGUUUAUUACAAAGUUUAACUUGGCAUACUACAAACAAGUUGUGGUACUCCCAUACUCAUAGGACUUCAAACAAAUAGGGAAGUCCAAGCUCGAUGUAGGAACUUGAUUCAAAUUAUCCAUGUGCCAUUAGAAUUUGAGUAGUUUAAGUCUACAGUUAGAUUAUAUAGAACAUCCAACAUGACCUGAAAAACCUCUCAUCUAACUAAAACUACAGCCCCAGAAGUUAAAUUGUCAGCCAAACACCAUUUUAAGCAACUUCGAAGAAGAAUCACAAGGUAUAAGUGGUAAAAACUUCAUAGUCAAUCUGCAUAUUCUAAGAAAUCAACUGAGAAAGGGAUUCACAAAUGAUAAACCCGUUGCAAUACAAGCGGAUUCAUCCACUCAUAUUAGGUAUAGAACAUAUAGCUGAGAGAACCCGUACUUGAUCUCUACAUUUUUAUUCUAUUUGAUUUUUUAUUCAUAGUUUUUGGAGGGGAAAGUGAAGGGAAGAAGAUAAUUGAAGAGUAAAAGAUAUAGAAAGAUGAUAAGAACAACAGAAUGCAAAUUACCCUUUUUUG
rnacentral:misc_RNA from 1 species